rnacentral:lncRNA from 7 species
AGGACCUUUUGCAUCAGAUCGAGGGGUUUCUGCGUGGAAGCUACGCGCCGCGCCGACCAUUUUUCCUUUUCAUUCAUUUACAUUCAAUUACCCCAUCCUGUUCUUUUUUUUUUCUUCACCUUACAUGUAAUAUAGGGUUGGAGAAAAUGCUCUUGUCUCGUCGGCUCGUUUAUUUCAUGGUCGAGUCGAAUCAAUUUGUUUGAUUUUUUUAUAAACUAUGCUAGCAUUCUAGCUCAUUUUGUUAACGAGUCAGCUCGCAAGCUAAACAAGCUAUUAUAUUUCAGCAAAAUAAAACUAUAGUUACGUGACUCCCUUCCCAUGUACGCAUGCAUUUUCUGCACCGUAUUUUUACAUGAGACAUGCCAUGUAUUUUAUUGUUGGUUGAGAAUAGUGUUCGCAACAAGUGAUUUUUUUCAUCGGACCUAAACGGUCUGAGAAUUAAUGACAAAAAUAUGCAAAAAAAACAAUUAAGAGUUGCAGUGGAGUAGGUGAACUAAAUUAUUAGACAAAAUAUCUAGUGUUGGACUCCGCCGAUGCACAGCAAAGCAUAGCCAAAGCCAGAGCGACGUGGUCGAGCGCAGAAGCACGUGAAGCCGAGGGGACGUGUGCAGAACAGAAGCGGGAGCCGGGCCGGCCCGGCCCGGAUUGGAGAGAAAUCUGCUGGUCGACGCGAUGCUAAUUGCAGCUAGGACAUGCCUUGCGUUGCGCGCGUUUAGGUUUAGGUUACGUGUAUUGUUGUAGUAGGAGACUGCAACAUUCUACGAGGGUGGUCCAGAAGAAAAAAAAGAAGGUGAAAUUCUAAUAGCUGAUUUGGAAACCCAAAUUUUCCAAAGUUUUUUAUUUUUUCAUAGGAAAUUAGUUUAUUUCUAUCGAGAAAUUGAAAAUUCCAUAUAAAAAUCGGGUUGUCAAACUAGCUCUAAAAUUGCAACCGAGACCGGAUUCCAUGGGACGAAAGGAAA